CAAGUUACAAAACCAGCCAGGGAGGGCCCAAACAAACAAAGUUAUCUUAAGUUCUUAACAAAUAAAAUGCAGUGCCCUGUGCCCAAAUAUUUAUAAUUUUAUACCUGAUUCCUGAACCUCAGAACCUGAUACGGUGAGGUGAGGUGAGCAGUUGAGACUUGAGAGAGGCGGAGAGCAGAGAAUCAGAGAGAGGCUGAGGCGGUUCAGCUGGAGACUGAACAGUGGAGACUGGAGACUAGAGAGAGGCGGAGAGCAGAGACCAGAGAGAAAGGGAGGCCCAAAAUGGACAACAUUGUAGAGUCUUUGAACAAUGCAUAUCAGGACUUUGUUGCUGCGGCAGCUAAUGUACUCGAAGCCAAGGAGAUUGCUGGUGCCCAGAAAACAACAGCCACAGAUGCUGCUCUAGAAAAUUUUAAGCAGAAGUGGGAGUUGUUCAGAGUUGCUUGUGACCAAGCAGAGGAGUUUGUGGAGUCUGUGAAGCAAAGGAUAGGAUCAGAGUGCCUAGUGGAUGAAGCAACUGGCUCACCGGCUGGGAAGUCAGGCCAGAGCACUGGUCUUCCACCCAUUAGUGCAGUCCGUUUGGAACAGAUGAGUAAGGCUGUCCGAUGGCUUGUGAUUGAACUACAGCAUGGUUCUGGAAGUGCAGCUGUUUCAGCCAAUUCCCACCCUUCUGCUCCUUUUGAUGCUAGGUUCACUGAAGAUGCAACUCAAUAGUGCUGGAGAUCAGUGAAAAGCACGGCGUUGUGAUAAUCUUUCUUGGUGAUCUGUGAUGUGAAGACUGGGGAUUCAAUGUUGCAGCUCAUCUUUACUGUUGCUGAAGUUUGUAUCUGAUAGCUGCAAAGGGUGGGGGGGAGGACUAGCAGUCUUGCGGAGAGGAUAACUUUGCAUGCAUUUGGGAUUCUUCUCUUUGUAAUUUUGACCCCGCCUUCCAAAUUGACAUGGUUUGAUGUGUACAAUUACAUCUCCAGUUUAAGGUCUCACAAUCAUGGCUUCCUCAGAGGAUUUAGAUUCAUCGUUCGUGUACAAAAUAAGACUCAGGAUAGAUUUCUGUGGACAAUGGUAUCUGCAUCAGUUGAUCUUUUGGACUCUUGAGUUCAGUUUUUUCAUAUGGUGGAAAAAUUGAUAAAAUAUAUGUAGGAAAAAUUUAAAU